UGGGGAAUAUUGGACAAUGGGCGCAAGCCUGAUCCAGCCAUGCCGCGUGAGUGAUGAAGGCCCUAGGGUUGUAAAGCUCUUUCACCGGUGAAGAUAAUGACGGUCACCGGAGAAGAAGCCCCGGCUAACUUCGUGCCAGCAGCCGCGGUAAUACGAAGGGGGCUAGCGUUGUUCGGAUUUACUGGGCGUAAAGCGCACGUAGGCGGACUUUUAAGUCAGGGGUGAAAUCCCGGGGCUCAACCCCGGAACUGCCUUUGAUACUGGAAGUCUUGAGUAUGGUCGAGGUGAGUGGAAUUCCGAGUGUAGAGGUGAAAUUCGUAGAUAUUCGGAGGAACACCAGUGGCGAAGGCGGCUCACUGGACCAUUACUGACGCUGAGGUGCGAAAGCGUGGGGAGCAAACAGG
rnacentral:rRNA from 1 species